rnacentral:tRNA from 1 species
GGGGAUUUCGCUCAGUGGCAUAAGCACCUGCCUUGCAAGCAGGCAGUUGUGAGUUCAAUCCCUG